GUGCCAGCCGCCGCGGUAAUACGGAGGAUGCGAGCGUUAUCCGGAUUUAUUGGGUUUAAAGGGUGCGUAGGCUGUCCGUCAAGUCAGCGGUGAAAUGCCGGGGCUCAACCCCGGAGCUGCCGUUGAUACUGUAGGGCUUGAAUCCUGCUGCCGUGGGAGGAAUGAGUAGUGUAGCGGUGAAAUGCAUAGAUAUUACUCAGAACACCGAUUGCGAAGGCAUCUCACGAAACAGGCAUUGACGCUGAGGCACGAAAGCGUGGGGAUCAAACAGGAUUAGAUACCCUGGUAGUCCACGCAGUAAACGAUGAUGACUAACCGUCGGCGAUACACAGUCGGUGGCCAAGCGAAAGCGAUAAGUCAUCCACCUGGGGAGUACGACCGCAAGGUUGAAACUCAAAGGAAUUGACGGGGGCCCGCACAAGCGGAGGAACAUGUGGUUUAAUUCGAUGAUACGCGAGGAACCUUACCCGGGCUCGAACGGCUGGUGAAGAGAUACAGAGAUGUUGACGUCCUUCGGGACACCAGUCGAGGUGCUGCAUGGUUGUCGUCAGCUCGUGUCGUGAGAUGUUGGCUCGAUGAUAACGCGAGGAACCUUACCCGGGCUGGAACGCAGCGGGACGGGGGCGGAGACGUCCCUUCCCUUCGGGGCCGGCUGCGAGGUGCUGCAUGGUUGUCGUCAGCUCGUGCCGUGAGGUGUCGGGUCAAGUCCCAUAACGAGCGCAACCCCUGCGUCCAGUUGCCACCGGUACGGCCGGGCACUUCUGGACGGACUGCCCGCGCAAGCGGAGAGGAGGGCGGGGAUGACGUCAAAUCAGCACGGCCCUUACGUCCGGGGCGACACACGUGCUACAAUGGCCGGCACAGAGGGCAGCCACGCGGCGACGCGGAGCGAAUCCCGAAAGCCGGUCUCAGUCCGGAUCGGAGCCUGCAACCCGGCUCCGUGAAGCUGGAAUCGCUAGUAAUCGCGCAUCAGCCAUGGCGCGGUGAAUACGUUCCCGGGCCUUGUACACACCGCCCGU
rnacentral:rRNA from 1 species